rnacentral:sRNA from 2 species
CAACACACAACCCAAGAAAAUCAUCGCAGACUUCAACGAUCAAGAACCAAGCAAGCCCCUCUCAAUACCGCUUACUCCCCGGAAAUUCACACAAAUUCGCCAAAAUGGAAAACGAACAGGGGAAAAUCGUCGACCUUUAUGUGCCUCGCAAAUGCAGCGCCACCAACCGCAUCAUCAAGGCUAAGGAUCAUGCCUCCGUCCAAAUUAGCAUUGCCAAAGUUGAUGAGAACGGCCGAUACACCGGCGAGAAUCAAGUAUAUGCUCUCUGCGGAUUCGUACGGGCCCGGGGUGAGAGUGAUGACAGCUUGAACCGUCUGGCGCAACGGGAUGGGUUCUUGAAAAAUGUAUGGAGCGCGAGCUCCCAGCGUUAAGAGAAAAUGGAGGAGAAAUUUGGCUUUCCUUUUUAUUCUCUUUUUCCUUUUCGUUUUUUCUUAUGCUGGUUUAAGGGGCCCCUUGUGGGAUGGGAAUGUUGUUGUGAUGAUAACCAUUAAAUGAGCGAAAUAAAGAAAAUUCCUGGGAUAUUCUGGAGUUCUUUUUUUUGUUGAGGCUCUUAAAUCAAAUAAAGGCCUUCUAUUUCUUCUUAUCGUUCUUAAAAGUGCCUACCAAUCCUCUUGUCUACCAACAGUGAAGUGACUCGCUCGGUUCAUGGCCCGCGUACUUUAACGGAGAAAUAUACGAAAUCACAAUCAUGCAUUUUCUGAACCAUAAAGCCCAAAAUAGAGGAAAUUGGGAAGUCCAAUAUUCUCGAGCCUCAUCGUCCGCCUACGAGAAAUUAAUUUCAAUACACACUUUUUUCCGAGACCGAAAAAUUUCCUAGGAAUCUAUCCAACUCACUUGCUUUCUCACCAGGUUUUCGUUUCUUUCUAUCUUUCCCCCUUUAAACUCCCUAAACCCUGGCAGCAAAACCACACCUCAAGCCCACCGCAAAAAUCCACAACUCCCUAGUGGAACGGGCGAUUUUCGCGGUCAAUGACUGAGGUGGGUUACGAUGAAAAAAUCAAAAAAAAAAAAAAAAAUCAAAUCAUAGCUGGGGGAGAUCAUUGAUUUCUUUCCGAAAUACCCGUCUGCUGAAGAGCUGUGAUACGCAAGGUCACUGGUCAGAGCACAGAUACGGGCGGGACAUGUCAUAUUUUCGCAUCGCCUAUUGCCCUUGAAGAUAACAUAAAAACUACGUAUGAUGUUUGUCGGUAAAAAUCGAGUCGGUAAACAUAAGUUAUGCCCUCCAUCCUCUUUCCUACAUAAGGUAGGUUUCCUGCUACCUACGUAUUUAGUUACUCCAUGCAUUCUUGUUCAAAUAUACUUUCAAAAAUGAAGUUGUCGGGAGGGAAUAUGAUAUGAAGAAUAUUACGGGAUUUGAUUUUAUGAUUUUUAUUCGUUUAUAUGUCAUCCCUCCGCCAUGGAACAGGGCGCAAUCAGGAAAUCAUCCAUCAACACUCAUGGGGAACUGGGCUCGUAUCCUCUAAUGAUUCGUAAAAUUUCCGCGAAAGCAACACAUAUUCUCAGAAUUUCUCCUCUCUCCCCCUGCCUUUUUCUAACCUUCUCCUCUUCGAAUGUGUCGCCAAAACACAAAACCCUACUUGUUAUAGUGCAUACUAAUCCUUCUCGAGCCGGACUGCCGGGUUCGUUUCGAUGAAGUUGAGAUCUACUUUGUGCCCAAGCAAUUCACGAAUGUUGCUUACGCCAUAUCUGUAAACGAAUAGUGUCCCGGGUUAGUCUUGACCAAUCUUACUCUCUCUACGGAUGGAACUUUGAGGGGGUUGCAAUAAUAUUAGGGGGCCAUUAUCGAACUUACUUGAUCAUAGUAGGUCGUUCCAAGCUCAAUCCCCAUCCAUACACUCUCAUAUCUUGUGGCAGACCCAUUGACUCCAACAUUUCCGGUCUAAACAUCCCGCUGUUGCCGAUCUCUACCCACUUUCCUAAGCCAUCAUGGUAGCCAAAAAUCUCCAUACUCGGCUCUGUGUAAGGAUUAUAUGCCGGCUUGAAUCGAAGCCCGUGAAUUCCCAUCUUGGCAAAGAAGACUUCCAUGAAACCAAUCAAGCCACCCAGCGUGAGACCAAAAUCAGCGAUCACACCCUCCACCUGGUGGAACUCUGCUAGAUGUGUAGCAUCAACUGCCUCGUUUCGGAACACCCGGUCAAUACUGAAAUACCUGGCCGGUCGAGGGUUUGCAGCUAGUUUGUGCAGCAUAUAAGUGGAAACAGAGGUGGUGUGGGUUCGAAGGACGAGGCGGAGCGAUUCUUCGGGAUCCCAUGGAUACCGGUAGCCAAUUGACCCGAAUUUACCAGAUUCAUGUACAGCGCGUACAUUGUUCCAGUAUUGCUCAUAGUCGAGAGGCUUGGUUUUGCCGGUGUUCGAAGAUCCACCCGUUGCUUUUCCAGCAUUUGCGACGUGAAUGUCAGAGAGAUCAUCUUCACGUGGCUUAUCUGCCCUGGCGGGGUCUGAGAUAUAAAAGGUAUCUUGAAGGUCACGGGCAGGGUGUUGUUGAGGGACAUAGAGAGCGUCGAAAUUCCAGAAGCCGGUCUCGACAUAACGAUUCGUUGGCAUCUCCUCGAAACCCAUCUCGAAGAAAAUAUGUCUAAAUUCCUGGCGCACCUUGUUCAGUGGAUGCAGAGCACCGCUGGGUGUUAACGCGCCCUUAGCAUUGAAAUUGUAAGGCUUAAAUUUUGCCGUUUUCCAUGAUCCAUUCGAAAGCAUAUCAACUGUAAGAUCGGUUUCCUCCUUGACAAGCUCUCUCGCAUAUUUGGGCCCUUUUGAUAUUCUGAAACUUAAAACCUUCUGCAUUGUGAGAAGUUUCCGCUUUCGCAAGUCCGCUAAGACUUUAGGAUCGGGGUACGUUUUUGUCUUCUGUAUAACCACAAGUUGCUCCCGAGUGGUGUCUUCGAUUGAGUCUGUGGCCGACCUCAAAAGGUCCUUAUCUUUCUUAAUCCAUCCCUUCUUAAAUGCAUUUCCAGCCCCAACUUUCGCGGCCUCCUUGCCAACUACAUCUGGUAGAUCCGCUAUUUUCAGACCAUUGAGUGCUGUUCUUACAGCUUCAAACACCUUGGCUUCAUGGCUGCCAUUGGCUGCUAUUCCUUCAGCUUCUGGCAAUAAUACUGCUUCCUCCUGUUCAAUCGUUUCAUAUAUGAUCAUGUCUCUGGAUCUAAGGCGAUCCAGAGCGCUUUUUAAAGCAAUUGUGGGCACGGUGGGGAAGUUAUUGGUGGAGAGAAUUGGGUCGUCGGUGGAGGAGAGGAGGUCUAAUACUUGCGCAGGGAGGUCGGUCGCCAUGAUUGCGACGGAAUGGCUGUUUUAACGUUAAGUCCCGUCCAAAAAUAGUCCUUGGUGGGUUACGA